UACGUAGGGUGCGAGCGUUGUCCGGAAUUAUUGGGCGUAAAGAGCUCGUAGGCGGUCUGUCGCGUCGGAUGUGAAAAUCCAGGGCUCAACCCUGGACCUGCAUUCGAUACGGGCAGACUAGAGUUCGGCAGGGGGAGACUGGAAUUCCUGGUGUAGCGGUGAAAUGCGCAGAUAUCAGGAGGAACACCGAUGGCGAAGGCAGGUCUCUGGGCAUUAACUGACGCUGAGGAGCGAAAGCAUGGGGGAGCGAACAGG
rnacentral:rRNA from 1 species